AUGUUUUCAUUCACACCGAUGGGAGGAGCUGUGGACAAGGAAAUAAACACUCGCAAAGGACCUUAUGUUUUUCGUUUGCAUGGACAAAACUACCACCAUAUCGGAACUCUUUUGCCUCAAGGUAUAGACAAACCUCGGUUCGCACAGCUAUACAUCUAUAAUACCGAAAAUGAGGUGGAAAACAGGAUAAGUGCAUCAAGACGCAAUGAUAAUGAAUCAACAGUGGACCCCAACAUCGUCAAAGAACUGAAAAUAAUGCUCGACGACAACAACAUCCUCACAAAAACAUUCAGAAUGGCAAGAGAUAGAUUCCAAGAAGGAGACUACCAUGAUUACACACUUCGGAUACUAGGCAAAAGGAACGGAACACACAACCUUCCAUCCGCAUCUGAAGUUGCAGCAUUGGUAGUAAGAGAUCCAACCGGAGAGAGUGAAGGACGUGACAUUGUUGUUGAGUACAAAAAUAUGGAGCCGCAAAGGAUAUCAGAGAUCCACCCGAAAUUCAUGUCCAUGCAAUAUCUGUUGUUGUUCCCAUAUGGAGAAGAUGGUUUUAAACUUGAGAUACCCUACAAGAAAACAAAAGGAGGUACAAACAGCAGGAAAUACGUAACGUUGUUGGACUGCUAUGCAUUCUACCUACAGCAACGUCCUGAUCAAGGAAUGUUACUGCUCAAGUCCGGGCAUUUGUCACUGCAAUUUUGGGUGGAUGUAUACACAUGUAUCGAGCAAAAUAGACUAAACUGGAUCCGACACAAUCAAGGAAAGCUACGAACUGAACUUUACAGUGGAUUGCAGGAUGCGAUUGAGCGAGGGGACACAAGAACAGAGCAAGUUGGAAAGAGGAUAACUGCGCCUUCAUCUUUUACAGGUGGUAGAAGAAACAAGGCACAAUAUUUGCAAGAUGCCUUUGCAAUAUGCCGUUGGGCUGGAUACCCAGACCUAUUUAUAACAUUCACAUGCAAUGCAAAGUGGCCUGAGAUCCAAUACAUGCUAGAUGAAGCGGGAGGUGGCCAAAAGCCAGCCGAUCGGCCAGAUAUUGUGGACAGAGUAUUUAUGAUCAAACUAAAAGAGCUAAUGAGCGACAUAAAAGAAAAGAAAUACUUUGGAGAAACAGUUGCAAGUAACUCCCAUUGA
rnacentral:rRNA from 1 species